rnacentral:rRNA from 1 species
UUCAACGGCCGCGGUAUUUUGACCGUGCAAAGGUAGCGCAAUCACUUGUCUUUUAAAUAAAGACCUGUAUGAAUGGUUAAACGAGGGCUUAACUGUCUCCCUAUUCCAGUCAGUGAAAUUGAUCUUCCCGUGCAGAAGCGGGACUUAUAAUACAAGACGAGAAGACCCUUUGGAGCUUAAGGUACAUAAACCAACCACGUCCAUCAAACCAAAAAAGGAUUAAACUUAGUGGAAAAUGGGGUACUACCUUCGGUUGGGGCGACCACGGAGGAUAAAAUAGCCUCCAAGAGGAUUGGGCUAAUAUAACCCAAAACCAAGAGAAACAUCUCUAAGCCACAGAAUAUCUGACCCUGUGAUCCGGACAUAAUACCGAUCAACGAACCAAGUUACCCUAGGGAUAACAGCGCAAUCCUCUCCUAGAGUCCAUAUCGACAAGAGGGUUUACGACCUCGAUGUUGGAUCAGG